GUCGUUUCUCGGCCUUUUGGCUAAGAUCAAGUGUAGUGUCUCUCUUCUCAUCAGCCUGAUAUCUGACACGUCCUCUGUCUGAGGACAACUCGCUAGGUGGGUGUUUUGGAGCAGGGGGCGGAAUAGGCACUUACUCGGCCCACUCCGCGGGUGUCGCGCAUCACGAAUCACACAUCUACCCUGC